GCGCGGGAAGGUGGGCGGGCCCCAGGCGUUGCUCUGGAAAGCGGUGUGCUGGUAUGGGGCUGUCCUCCCAGGUGCCCAGGGCAGGCACAGGUGAGACGAAAACUUGGAAAGGGGUCUUGGAAGUGCAGUUGUGCGCUGCAAACCGACGUUUCAGUCAACAGAGGAUGUGACGUCCUGCUGUAAGAUGGUGCCUGCAGCAUUCAGAACGAUGACGUGCUGUGACAGGUCUGCGGCCUGGGAGCGACAGGCCACACCGCACAGCCUGGCCACACCACCUACCAUGGGCUAGGGUAGGUGGUUAAGUCACUCUGAAGCUGGCACGACCACAACGUAUUUCUCAGAAUGUAUCCUGUUACUAAGUGAUGGCGUGUGACUGUGUGUUACCGAUGUGUUUCUGUGUGAGGCUUAGCCACCCCUUCUUUAGGAAGCAUUUUUCCUGGCUCAUUGGGUUUCUAGAGAACACUGUGUCACAAUGCCAACGCUAAGAGUCCACAAAGAUCAUGUAGCAGCAGAUAACCCACGGAAGAGCGGCGAGGGUCACCCACAUUGCCUGUGGUGGCAGCGGGUUGGAGCUAGAUCCCACACCUGGUUUGCCCAGCAGCCUGUUGUUUUUCUGAGGCACCAUUUGAAGGCGCGUUUUGCAUGCAGACAAUUACGCUGCAUAAAAGGUACCUGUCAAGAAAGGGAAGCCCUUGGCGUUCAGUACAUACGCGCCCCCCCACAAAACUGAUAGCUUUUCUACUGCUUCACAUCUACUGCUUUUCUACUGCUUAAAAUCACUGGUGAUUUUAAGAAAUAUGAACGGUCCACUGUGAAUAACAUAGUGAUGGUGCAAUUAUUUGUGCAAUAGCUUGACCAUCUAUCUAGUAGCCAAAAAUUUGUUAAGGAAUAGAACAGGCUGUUCAGUGUCAAAUCUCUUUUCCAGUACUAGCCAAGACCUUUGCAGCCUGCCAUUUCAACAUUGUGUGGCCUCGUCCCCUAAACAUAGAGCAGAUUUUAGCUAUGGGUAACAUUACAUUUCCCAAAUCUCUCUAUUUAGGCAAUAAUGACUAUAACCCCAAGUAUUCUUUUUUUUUUUUAACCCCAAGUAUUCUUUACCCCAACAUUACAUAAAUCUUUUAGUAGUAAUAGUAUCAUUCCCUAAAUCACCUCUCCUGGGUCUUUGGGGAGGGAUUAAAACUAAAAAUAUAUACCUUAAAAGGAAGAAUUUUAAGAAAAUUACAGUUAAGCAAAACGACGGGAUUGUUAAUAAGUUAGGACCUCACCCAUUGUCAAUACUUGUAAAGGAACUAAAUGAUAAGACUUUAAAAGGAUUUUAAUAUCCUUGCCACUUGGGGGUAACUUGCCAAGUAAUCCUGAAAAAAAGCUGUCAAUCCUUUGUGCUGAUUUCUUAUCUUUAUAAUAGAAAUGGUAAGCUCCGACAACUCAGUAAGACCAACAACAAAAUAGAGAAAUGGGCAGAGAUAUAGGAACAAAUAAGUCAUAAAAGAAAUACAGUUUGCUGUCCAAAUGGGCAGAGAUAUAGGAACAAAUAAGUCAUAAAAGAAGUACAGUUUGCUGUCCAUAUCUGUGGUUUCUACAUCUGAAGAUUGAGCUAACCACAAGUGGAAAAUGU